UACGUAGGGGGCAAGCGUUGUCCGGAUUUAUUGGGCGUAAAGAGCGUGUAGGCGGCUUUACAGGUCCGUUGUGAAAACUCGAGGCUCAACCUCGAGACGCCGGUGGAAACCGUAUGGCUAGAGUCCGGAAGAGGAGAGUGGAAUUCCCGGUGUAGCGGUGAAAUGCGCAGAUAUCGGGAAGAACACCCGUGGCGAAGGCGGCUCUCUGGGACGGUACUGACGCUGAGACGCGAAAGCGUGGGGAGCGAACAGG
rnacentral:rRNA from 1 species